UUGCAUCUAUGGCAGAUUACUCUUACCACAAUACUAGGCUUCUUCUGUUCUUUUCUCUUGUUCCCUCUAAUUUUUCUUCUUCUUCUCUGAGAUUUCUUCCUUUCUUCUCUCUCUAUUCUUCUUCUUCUUCUCCUCCUCUUCUUUCUUCUAUUUCUCUUCUGAUGCGUCCACAUCGGUUCUGUAGGGAGGUCUUGGGUGUUAUAUAAAUGAGCUUGCAAACCUCCCCUUGUGAGCUAACUUUUGAGGUGGAGUUAGGCAGGU
rnacentral:misc_RNA from 1 species